rnacentral:rRNA from 1 species
UAAUGGGAUUUAUUGGGUUUAAAGGGAGCGUAGAUGGAUGUUUAAGUCAGUUGUGAAAGUUUGCGGCUCAACCGUAAAAUUGCAGUUGAUGACUGGAUGUCUUGAGUGCAGUUGAGGCAGGCGGAAUUCGUGGUGUAGCGGUGAAAUGCUUAGAUAUCACGAAGAACUCCGAUUGCGAAGGCAGCCUGCUAAGCAGCAACUGACAUUGAGGCUCGAAAGUGUGGGUA